UGUGUAGGCGGCUUUUUAAGUUUGGUGUGAAAUCUCCCGGCUCAACCGGGAGGGUGCGCCGAAUACUGAGAGGCUAGAGUGCGGGAGAGGAAAGUGGAAUUCCUGGUGUAGCGGUGAAAUGCGUAGAUAUCAGGAGGAACACCCGUGGUGUAGACGGCUUUCUGGACCGUAACUGACGCUGAAACACGAAAGCGUGGGUAGCAAACAGGAUUAGAUACCCUGGUAGUCCACGCCCUAAACGAUGCAUAUUUGGUGUGGGUCAUUCAGUUGAUCCGUGCCGGAGCUAACGCGUUAAAUAUGCCGCCUGGGGAGUACAGUCGCAAGGCUGAA
rnacentral:rRNA from 1 species